rnacentral:rRNA from 1 species
UACGGAGGGUGCGCGCGUUAUCAGGAAUCACUGGGUUUAAAGGGUGCGUAGGAGGCUCGGUAAGUCAGUUGUGAAUGCCACUUGCUUAACGAGGGAGGUGCGAUUGAUACUGUCGAGCUUGAAUCGGGAUGAGGCAGGCGGAAUGCGGCAUGUAGCGGUGAAAUGCAUAGAUAUGCCAUAGAACACCGAUUGCGAAGGCAGCCUGCUGGGCCUGUAUUGACGCUGAGGCACGAAAGCGUGGGGAGCAAACAGG